rnacentral:tRNA from 1 species
CUUAGCUCAGUGGAUAGAGCGUUCGGCUCCGAACCGAAAGGCCGUGGGUUCAAUUCCCAUAGAGU